rnacentral:rRNA from 1 species
CCUACGGGAGGCAGCAGUGGGGAAUAUUGGACAAUGGGCGAAAGCCUGAUCCAGCCAUGCCGCGUGUGUGAAGAAGGCCUUCGGGUUGUAAAGCACUUUCAGUGGGGAAGAAAGCCUUGGGGCUAAUACCCUCGAGGAAGGACAUCACCCACAGAAGAAGCACCGGCUAACUCCGUGCCAGCAGCCGCGGUAAUACGGAGGGUGCGAGCGUUAAUCGGAAUUACUGGGUGUAAAGCGCGCGUAGGCGGUCUGAUAAGCCGGUUGUGAAAGCCCCGGGCUCAACCUGGGAACGGCAUCCGGAACUGUCAGGCUAGAGUGCAGGAGAGGAAGGUAGAAUUCCCGGUGUAGCGGUGAAAUGCGUAGAGAUCGGGAGGAAUACCAGUGGCGAAGGCGGCCUUCUGGACUGACACUGACGCUGAGGUGCGAAAGCGUGGGUAGCAAACAGGAUUAGAUACCCGAGUAGUC